CACAAACCCCAGAUCUGUACCUCC
rnacentral:siRNA from 1 species